UGCACUCUUUGUAUUCAGGUAUUAUUGUGAAAUAUAUCAUAUAAAAAUAUUUAUAAUAUAAAAAAAUAUUAUUUUCCUUUCAAAAAAUAGUAAUACGUAAAGAUAUGGAUAUAGUACAAAGAUAUAUACAUAAUAGUGGUAAGACAGUACCGGUACAUAUAUUAAGGAUGACAAAUGGUUUCCUAUAUUUUAAUGAUUCCCCUGUCAUCUAGCUGAACAAGAUUAUUCAGUUAAAGUCUCAAAAUACGCACAAAAAAGCACUAUUAUAUUUGUGAAAUUACACUUUUUUUUAUACAUUGUAGAAUUUGGUCUCAUUACAUUCAACACUCAAUGUAACCGUACUGUGUGUUUCUGGGAAAUGCGUAAUGCGAAAGUUAUUGUGUAACUUUCUGACAGUUUUGUCAUAGAAAUACCAUUCCACUACUAGCUGAUUUUUGCAAUCAUGUGUUUUGUAAAACGCAACAUCAGAUGAUUUGACGUAUCGCAGCUUUGUGCUGACAGUCACAAAGACUAACAAACGUCGAUAUGUUGUAAUGAAUUUUCUCCUGGUGCGGCAUGUCAUCAUUGCAACACAUUAAGGAGAGGCAAGAUGUCCUAACACACUCAACACUGAUGAACACUGUUGAUACUGUUGACUGUAUCCUUCCAGGGUCAUCACUAUGUCAACUGACAACAUUAGACACCUUUACUGUAUAAGGAAAGAAAAAAAAAAACAUUGGAUAAUUGCCAACUAAUGAAAUAACUCUGGGCUUACUCUGCAAAUCUCCCGCACGUAGUGCAGUAUCAUCAGCAUUAAUGGAUUAUGAUUAUUAUACAGUUAUCAUAUAUGACACCAAUGCUUGAGAGUGAGCUGGCACUGCUAUCUUACUCAUGACGGGUAACCUGAGGACUAUUUGGGGCGUCCUUUUACCAGGACACUUUGUGUGCUUUAGGCCACUACAAAAUGAAACUCCAUCUGCAAGGCUUUUUAAUAUUUAAAGACAGUGGAGAGUUUGAUUCUCCGCUCAGAGAAGACGAUCAAAUCUUGUUUGUUCUCAUGCUCGGUACACCGGUUCCAAACUGAAGCGCAUAAAGGAUCUUCUCGGAUCUGGCACAGACUCAGUUGCUAGAGUUACUGUUUACCGCUUACUGCAGAAAUGUAUGUAAACUCUUCUGGAGCCGACACUGGGUCCUUCACAUUGACCUUUCUGGGAAAGAAAGUAGGGCGACAUCGUUCUGUAGCCCCUGCAGGCAAGAAAUGUGCCUGGGAGAGAAAUAACCCAUGUACCUGCCCAGAGGAGCCCACAGUUUUCCCAAAGCUCGGACCGGUCUCAGCGACAACACACGACCUGGAUCUACCUGGAAGGGUUCCACAGUUCAUGGAUGAGAGUUCAUAUCAAGUAGACCAGAGAAAAAACAACACAGCAGGUGCUUCUGGAAAGAAAAUAACACCAUGACGACACACCCACAUUCCUGAUUGAGGAACGAGUGAGGAGGGAGAGGAAAACAAAUGUCACGAUGAUGAAAGAGAUUGAUGACAUUGAAUGCCAAUAAUCACUGUGAUAAAUAAGAUAAGCCGCAAUCGUGGGAUUCUUUCAAAAGAUACAAAUAAACAGACAGACUGGAUGUAUUGCAUCUACAGUACAAUUAUUGGUACACUAUAGUAUACUUCAACUGUAAAAUAAUCACAUACCAUACACUUUAAAACUGUUUUUGUGUAAACCAACUCAAAUAAAUCAAACUUUAGCCA